GACAGAGGGUGCAAACGUUGUUCGGAAUUACUGGGCGUAAAGCGCGUGUAGGCGGCCCGGAAAGUCGGAUGUGAAAGCCCUGGGCUUAACCUAGGAAGUGCAUUCGAAACUCCCGGGCUUGAGUUCUGGAGAGGAAGGCGGAAUUCUCGGUGUAGAGGUGAAAUUCGUAGAUAUCGAGAGGAACACCGGUGGCGAAGGCGGCUUCCUGGACCGACACUGACGCUGAGGCGCGAAAGCUAGGGGAGCAAACGGG
rnacentral:rRNA from 1 species